rnacentral:lncRNA from 1 species
CACACAGCGGCCUCCUUCUCUCCCGUUCAGACACCGGUGAUCGGAUUCUUUUCCGGUGUCGAUCUCCGGCCAGCGACACACCACCAUCAUCCUCCUCCUACUUCAUUCCUAUAACACCCACACCCACAUUCUCGUUCCUUCGUUGUCCGACGACAAGAUCAACAGAGAAGGAGGAGUGAGGUGAGAGAGAAACAGAGGGAGCGGCGGAGAUAGGCACCGCACGGAUGGUAGUGACGGCAGUGGUGGCCGCCUCGUUCCAAUUUUGAUUCGGAUUGUUUUGACACGGGUCUACGGCGGACGAACGAAGCCGCCGUGCGGCGGCAGUGGUGGUUCUUCUUGUGUCUUGGCUUGGAUCCGGUUGUUUCAGUUUUGGUUUGGGUAUAUUUUGUUUGAGUCCAGUUCAAAGGUCUCGUUGGAAACAAACUGCUUCGCCAUGUUUCGGUUGAUUAUUGAAGUAUGGAUGAAUGAUGAAACAAGUUAGGGUGGACUAGAUACACAUCUAGAAUAUUCUAUCUUUUGUUUGUUAUGUUACUUGUUGAAACAAUGUUGUUAUUUCUUUUUUUGAAUCAUGUAUGACAUUUAGUUUUGAAAUGAAAUUUGAAUUUAAU